rnacentral:rRNA from 1 species
UACAGAGGGGGCAAGCGUUGUUCGGAAUUACUGGGCGUAAAGGGCGCGUAGGCGGCCUGUUAAGUCGGACGUGAAAUCCCUCGGCUCAACCGGGGAACUGCGUCCGAUACUGGCGGGCUUGAAUUCGGGAGAGGGAUGUGGAAUUCCAGGUGUAGCGGUGAAAUGCGUAGAUAUCUGGAGGAACACCGGUGGCGAAGGCGGCAUCCUGGACCGACAUUGACGCUGAGGCGCGAAAGCUAGGGGAGCGAACGGG